rnacentral:rRNA from 1 species
GAUGAACGCUGGCGGCGUGCCUAAUACAUGCAAGUCGAGCGAACAGACGAGGAGCUUGCUCCUCUGACGUUAGCGGCGGACGGGUGAGUAACACGUGGAUAAACUACCUAUAAGACUGGGAUAGCUUCGGGAAACCGGAUCUAAUACCGGAUAAUAUAUUGAACCUCAUGGUUCAAUAGUGAAAGACGGUUUUGCUGUCACUUAUAGAUGGAUCCGCGCCCUAUUAGCUAGUUGGUAAGGUAACUGGUUACCAAGGCAACGAUGCGUACCCGACCUGAGAGGGUAAUCGGCCACGCUGGAACGAAGGCACGAUCCAGCAUCCUACGGGAGGCAGCAGGAGGGGAUCUUCCGGAAUGGGCGAAAGCCUGACGGAGGAACGCCGCGUGAGUGAUGAAGGUCUUCGGAUCGUAAAACUCUGUUAUUAGGUAAGAACAAAUGUGUAAGUAACUAGGCACGUCUUGACGGUACCUAAGCAGAAAGCCACGGCUAACUACGUGC